rnacentral:rRNA from 1 species
UGGCGGGCUGCCUAAUACAUGCAAGUCGAGCGAUGAUUAAAGAUAGCUUGCUAUUUUUAUGAAGAGCGGCGAACGGGUGAGUAACGCGUGGGAAAUCUGCCGAGUAGCGGGGGACAACGUUUGGAAACGAACGCUAAUACCGCAUAACAAUGAGAAUCGCAUGAUUUUCAUUUAAAAGAAGCAAUUGCUUCACUACUUGAUGAUCCCGCGUUGUAUUAGCUAGUUGGUAGUGUAAAGGACUACCAAGGCGAUGAUACAUAGCCGACCUGAGAGGGUGAUCGGCCACACUGGGACUGAGACACGGCCCAGACUCCUACGGGAGGCAGCAGUAGGGAAUCUUCGGCAAUGGGGGCAACCCUGACCGAGCAACGCCGCGUGAGUGAAGAAGGUUUUCGGAUCGUAAAACUCUGUUGUUAGAGAAGAACGUUAAGUAGAGUGGAAAAUUACUUAAGUGACGGUAUCUAACCAGAAAGGGACGGCUAACUACGUGCCAGCAGCCGGRAGGUAAUACA